GAUGAAGAACGCAGCGAAAUGCGAUAAGUAAUGUGAAUUGCAGAAUUCAGUGAAUCAUCGAAUCUUUGAACGCACAUUGCGCCCGCCAGUAUUCUAGCGGGCAUGCCUGUCUGAGCGUCAUUUCAACCCUCAUGCCCCUAGGGCGUGGUGUUGGGGAUCGGCCAAAGCCCGCGAGGGACGGCCGGCCCCUAAAUCUAGUGGCGGACCCGUCGUGGCCUCCUCUGCGAAGUAGUGAUAUUCCGCAUCGGAGAGCGAUGAGCCCCUGCCGUUAAACCCCCAACUUUCCAAGGUUGACCUCAGAUCAGGUAGGAAUACCCGCUGAACUUAAGCAUAUCAAUAAGCGGAGGA
rnacentral:misc_RNA from 1 species